AGGACGAGGAGGUGGAGGAGAUUAGUGGUAUUUAUGAGGGAGAAUGUCAAAUGGGGAAGGAAGGACUGAGAGUUUAUUUGAAUGAAGUGAGACGACGGGGAAUGUUUUGAAUAAUCAUAGGGAAUAAUAUGACGUUGGUAUAAUUAAUAGCGGGAGAGAGAGCGAGAGAGAGAAAGAGAGGUCUUGAGCAAAAACCGAUAGGAGACCAGGAGCGGAACGGAACGGAGCCACGACUUGCGGCGCUGCUGAAAUUCCCCCUCUCUCGUUUUGAUUCUUGGAAUAUCUGUUG
rnacentral:lncRNA from 1 species